GCCCCGGUGGCUAAGCCCGGUUAUAGCAGCGGCCUCGUAUGCAAAGUGCUGGGAGAGCCGCAGGUCGCGGGUUCGAAUCCCGCCCGGGGCU
rnacentral:tRNA from 1 species